rnacentral:rRNA from 1 species
CAGUAGCCACGGUAAUACGUAGGUGGCAAGCGUUGUCCGGAAUUAUUGGGCGUAAAGCGCGCGCAGGCGGUUUCUUAAGUCUGAUGUGAAAGCCCCCGGCUUAACCGGGGAGGGUCAUUGGAAACUGGGAGACUUAGAGUGCAGAAGAGGAGAGUGGAAUUCCAUGUGUAGUGGUGAAAUGCGUAGAUAUAUGGAGGAACACCAGUGGCGAAGGCGACUCUCUGGUCUGUAACUGACACUGAGGCGCGAAAGCGUGGGGAGCAAACAGGAUUAGAUACCCGGGUAGUCCCUGUCUCUUAUA